rfam:Stereum hirsutum FP-91666 SS1 unplaced genomic scaffold STEHIscaffold_28, whole genome shotgun sequence.
GGCGCUAUCGUAUAGCGGUUUAGUACACAGGAUUUUGACGCGUCUCGAAUAUUCCUGUAACCCAGGUUCGAACCCUGGUAGUGCCU